AGUCGUGCACCCGCGUCCACUGGCGCGCGCCCGCCCGGCGGGGACUUGGGAGACUCCGCCGCCGACGCCGCCGCCACAACUUGGCCCAUUUAAACGGCCCCGGCGCGGCGGGCGGCGCGGGCUCCCGCGGGGGGUGCGUGACGGCCGACUCGGGGCAUCCGGCGGCGGCAGCGGGACAGGGCUGCGGCCCCCGGCGCUAUCCCGAGUACCGAGUCACUGCGAGCGGCUGGAAUCCAGGACUCCGCGCGGGACUGGGAUGGGCUGGGCUGGUCGCGGACCGGGCUCCUCUCGGAGGGAGGGAGCUGGGGGCUGCUCGCCGGGGUGUGAGCGUGCGCCGGCGGCUCUGGGACUUUGCACAGCGAAUCUGAUGGUGGGCGUUGGUGUCCGGGAGGGCGUGGGUGGUCUCAGUGCACCUGCAGGGAGCGAGGUUGUGGAUUUGUAGUGUGUUGCCUGGACAAAGUGUUCUGUGAAUAACAGGGCAGCACCUCCCCGCCCACUCGUGCCGCUUCCUAUGCACUUCACAGGAGUGAGUUCGCCCGAGCCACGGAGUUCCUGUUUAGUCUUUUGCAGAUGACGCUGAGACAGAAAGGUCAAGUAACUCUCCUGAAGUCACACAGCUGUUUCAAAUGCAGGAUAUCUCACACCAGGACCGCGCCAGGGCCAUGGUGUGGGGCAAGAGCUUCCUGUCACCCCACACCUCCCAGCAGGAAGGUGGUGUGGAUCCGAGGCAGGGACAGUCUGGGCCCCAGUCCCUGGUUCCUGGUGAGCUUCCUGUCACCCCACACCUCCCUGCGUACCCAGAUCGGCAUUGCAUCUGGAGGGUUCCGAAGAGAAACACAACCUGGGGGCGUUGGUAACAGCAGGACACCAGCACAUCCCUGACCCCAGCUGUGGCUGCCAGUGAGUUCCUGUGCCUUCCUCUCCUGAAGUCUGUGUCUUCUCCCAGGUCUGAUACCAUGUGGAAAGUCUGCUCCUGGGCCAGCUGGAGGCCAUGUGGACUGGCCCUGAGUGCCCACUGUCUGGCUGCGUCCCUGACCCUACUGCCCGUGUGUGGGCUACUAGGUUCACCUGCACCUGACCCUCCUUCUAGGUUCACCUGCACCUGACUCCCUGAUGCUCACACAGUGACUUGGGGAGGGAGGCUGGGGAGGCGCAGGUCUGCAUGGCAGUGCCUCUCUGGGUCUGAGGCCCUUGGGCCAGGCCUCUCCUCUGACCUGGGCCAGCAGAGGGGCCUCCUUUCCCUUCCAAGAGCCCUCCCCUGUUCACCAGCAUCUCGUCAUGCUCAGGCCCACGGUGUGGUUAAGGAGGGGCAUGGGGCUGGCCCUGGGUUUCUGGCUGGGUGUGGGGGCCUACACGGGGCCCAUGGUGUCUUCCAGAAAAGACCCUGACUGGGUCCAAAGCUGGAGGCACCCCUCUAUCCUCACUGUCCACUCCCUGAUGUUCUGGAGGUCCCUCCAGGGGCUGGGUGAGGAGGCCUUCCCCACCACCUCCUUGUCUUCCUGGGAAGCAGGCACCUGUUCGGAGGCCACUUUCCCACAGGAGCAGGCUCCUCACCUCCAGCAUCACCCUUUGCCGCGGGGUUGUGCCCCUUCCUUGGUCCUGUCCACUCACACACUCAUAUCCUGUGUCCACUCACACACACCCGUGUCCGUGUCCAUGUUCACACCUGUUCUGUGUCCACUCCCACACACCUGUGUCCACUCCCACACCUGUAUCUCAUGUCCACUCGCUCACACCUGUACUGUCCGUGCCCACUCACACGUGUCCUGUAUCCACUCGCUCACACCCGUGUCUCAUGCCCGCUGGCUUACACCAGUCCCGUGUUCACUUGCGCCCCUGUGUCCCAUGUCUUGUGUCUGCUCGCACAUCUGUGUGAU